GACGAACGCUGGCGGCGUGCUUAACACAUGCAAGUCGAACGGAAAGGCCCUGCUUUUGUGGGGUGCUCGAGUGGCGAACGGGUGAGUAACACGUGAGUAACCUGCCCUUGACUUUGGGAUAACUUCAGGAAACUGGGGCUAAUACCGGAUAGGAGCUCCGCCUCCUGGGGGGGGGUGGGAAGGUUCGGCGGUUGGGGAUGGACUCGCGGCUUAUCAGCUUGUUGGUGGGGUAGUGGCUUACCAAGGCUUUGACGGGUAGCCGGCCUGAGAGGGUGACCGGCCACAUUGGGACUGAGAUACGGCCCAGACUCCUACGGGAGGCAGCAGUGGGGAAUAUUGCACAAUGGGCGGAAGCCUGAUGCAGCAACGCCGCGUGCGGGAUGACGGCCUUCGGGUUGUAAACCGCUUUCGCCUGUGACGAAGCGUGAGUGACGGUAAUGGGUAAAGAAGCACCGGCUAACUACGUG
rnacentral:rRNA from 1 species